GUAACUGCGAGUGAAGCGGGAAAAGCUCAAAUUUAAAAUCUGGCAGUCUUUGGCUGUCCGAGUUGUAAUCUAGAGAAGUGUUACCCGCGCUGGACCGUGUACAAGUCUCCUGGAAUGGAGCAUCAUAGAGGGUGAGAAUCCCGUCUCUGACAUGGACUACCAGGGCUUUGUGGUAUGCUCUCAAAGAGUCGAGUUGUUUGGGAAUGCAGCUCAAAAUGGGUGGUAAAUUCCAUCUAAAGCUAAAUAUUGGCGAGAGACCGAUAGCGAACAAGUACCGUGAGGGAAAGAUGAAAAGAACUUUGGAAAGAGAGUUAAACAGUACGUGAAAUUGCUGAAAGGGAAACGCUUGAAGUCAGUCGCGUUGGCCAGGGAUCAGCCUCGCUCUUGCGUGGUGUACUUUCUGGUUGAUGGGUCAGCAUCAAUUUUGACUGCUGGAAAAAGGCAUAGGGAAUGUGGCAGCUUUAGCUGUGUUAUAGCCCUUUGUCACAUACAGCAGUUGGGAUUGAGGAACUCAGCACGCCGUAAGGCCGGGUUUCGACCACGUUCGUGCUUAGGAUGCUGGCAUAAUGGCUUUAAGCGACCCGUCUUGAAACACGGACCAAGGAGUCUAACAUGCCUGCGAGUGUUUGGGUGGAAAACCCGAGCGCAUAAUGAAAGUGAAAGUUGAGAUCCCUGUCGUGGGGAGCAUCGACGCCCGGACCAGAACUUUUGGGACGGAUCCGCGGUAGAGCAUGUAUGUUGGGACCCGAAAGAUGGUGAACUAUGCCUGAAUAGGGUGAAGCCAGAGGAAACUCUGGUGGAGGCUCGUAGCGAUUCUGACGUGCAAAUCGAUCGUCAAAUUUGGGUAUAGGGGCGA
rnacentral:rRNA from 1 species